UGUGGAGCGCCAGAGCUGCUAAGUGCGUCAGUUGUGGAGAGGCGUAGACGAGUUAAGUCCUGGUCUGCGUGGAGGUCGACGACUCCGUCGCAGACUACGGACCUGUCUGGGUCUCAGCCGCCAAAGACCCCGUCCGGUAGGAAGUACUAGCCGGACAUCAUGAGUGGCUGUCGAGUAUUCAUCGGGAGACUAAAUCCAGCGGCCAGGGAGAAGGACGUGGAAAGAUUCUUCAAGGGAUAUGGACGGAUAAGAGAUAUUGAUCUGAAAAGAGGCUUUGGUUUUGUGGUAAGUAUUUAGAACUGGGUGAAUUAUCUGCUAAGUAGGUAGGGUUUUGAUAAGCAGUUGUUUUCGAUCUUGAGUCCGGGUAGAAUAUUUGCCUUCAGAAAAUGUUACUCAGCCUUAUGUCUGAAUUUUAUUGAGGCUGAAAACAACUUUAACUUGCCGGCUCACUGGAACCCACUCCCAGUGGCUCCUUGAUUAGGUUUUGACUGUAUGGCAGUGUCGUUAAGAUACUCUUCCCGUUCUGUCUCCUGAUCUCAGUGCUCUUAAUGUGUUGUAGAAUACUCUUCUAAAGCCAGUGUUAAGAGUCUUAUGCUUACAUUUUAGGAAUUUGAGGAUCCGA
rnacentral:sRNA from 1 species